UUCGCCAGCCGUGGACCUCGGCUGCGGGUAUAUCUACCUGCCGCACAUAUCCUUCACCUCCCACCUUUCAUGCGCUCGACUCUAGUGCCAAGAAAGACAACCGGAGCGCCACCUCCAUUGGUGAGGGAUUGCCGCCGCCGUCGCCCCUACUUCCUCCAUCGUUCGGUGCCUAUGUGGAGACUCGAGACGUCCACCGGCUCACGAAGGAUCUUGGCGGAUCUUGCCUAUGCUCGGAUGGGUGCAUCAGUGCUCGCCGAAGUGUACUGGAGUCUAGAAUUCGUUGGCAAGCCGCUUUGGGUCGGGGUCAAUGUCGCCGCGGUUUCGGUCACCGCAGCAAGGUUGGUGAAGUACCUGGGAAUCUCGAGUCUAAGGCAAGUUGUGCCCUUGAUCACUUUUCUUUACCUAAUAAUGUUCC
rnacentral:misc_RNA from 1 species